ensembl:lncRNA
CUGGUUAGGUUUUAUGUCUCUUGCUGAAAAACUGCAAAGGAAUAGCUGUAUUUCACAGUGAAAAUUGCAUUUAAUUGAAAGCAAAACAUUCAAGCACCCAAAAGAGAAGUGAGAAGAAGGGAUCCCACUCACAGGGGGAUAGUGGAGCUGAGAGGCUGUCCCUCUAGUCUGGUGGCCAACGGGGCACAGUCCUGUGAGGUUCUGGGGAAGGAGUGGGCUCAAUGAGUGAAAGAUGCUAACACGACCCAGACACUCUGCAACAUUAAACACUUAAAAAGGUUUGGGGUUUUGAAUACAGAGACCUCAGCCUACUUGGUUACCAUGGCAAACAAUCACCAAUAGAAGUCUUUUAAUCUUUAAUUAAAGAUACACAAAAAAGGAGAAAAAACAGUUUAAGCACUUGAAAAAUAAGACUUUAUGCUUUAAAAGUGUCCAUUAUCCCUCUUCCCUUAGCUGUCAACAGUUUUUGUAGCAGUGCUUCCCUCCCUUUAUUUAAGGUCAUAGCAGCACUCACUGUUUUUUGGGAGACACUCAUUGAGAUAGACUGGAUCUGCUGUUAGUACUCAUUUUGGGAUUCUGCUUUGCUCAUUUGAAGACACAGGCAUGCAGGAGGGGAGAGGAAAGGAGAGCAAAGACAAAAAUUAUUACUUCCUCUUCAGGUGUUGACUUUUACUUGCAGCCUCACUGCUAGAAAAAGACAAGCACAACACAUGGACUUAUCAGCCCCUCUCUGAUCAAGGGGAUUUAUAUCAGCGUCUGUCUCAUUUAGACAUUGCUUUUGGUUGUCUCCUUGAUUGCAGUUCACAGCUGUGUUGUACAACCCGUACCCUCCUAUCUAGGAUAGUUUGAUUAAAAGGAAGGUAAAAGAAAGAAAAGGCAGAGAAGCAUGUGAAAAGACUGCAAAGCUACUGAGAGAAGGGUGGCUUCAGGACCCCAAGUCUUCCCUUCCAAGUGGGUUUCCAGGACUGCACUGAAAUUGGUGGACAUAGCGAUGACUCCCAUGUAUCUCCUCACCAGAAACUCACCAGAAGGUCUGACCAGAUCAAGUAAGUGUAGAAUCAUAGAAUCACAAAGGUUGAAAAACACCCACAGGAUCAUCCAGUCCAACCAUUCACCUGUCACCAGUGGUUCUCACUAAACCAUGUCCUUCAACACAACGUCCAAAUGUUCCUUGAAAUACCAACAGUGUCACAGCAGAGACUUAGAUCUCGAAGUUGACAACGACAGCUGUCAGCAUGUCUCCUUUCUGUCCACCUAUUCUAGGAUCAGUAUCAAAAUGGAUGUACCCCAGAGGAUGAUGUACAUGCCACCAGUCACCAGUUGGCUUUAGCUCCUGGCACAUGAGUUUUGGUCCAUUGAUUUUGGCAUUUAUCUUGUACAUCAGGCCUGAUGUCAGCACAGUCCUUGGUUAAUAUUAGGAAGACUUUCUGAUUGAACUAAUUUGGUCUUCCCAUCUUUAACUUGUGCUGACUUCUCCAAGUAAUUUUCUCCAGCAGACUGAGCUGCACUUUCUCACCUCUGUGAACUUUAGCACAUGCGUUUGCCUGAUGUGCUUGCGUAGGAUGUUCAAUGCCCUCUUCUGCUUCCCUGUCUACCCUUCUUCUUUUCCAGGAGAAUACCACAGUCACAAGAGCAGGGGUACCCUGGGAGAGGCUCUGCCAAUGGCACUUUCAUAUUCCUUAGUAGCGCAAUACUCAUUAGCACAGACUGGGGAAGCCAGGUGAAUUGUGUCCAUGAGUGUCUCUACUGGGGUCUGGAAAGAGGACACAUAAGUGGUGAGGAGUAAGAACAACCCACCUUAGUAUGCAGCACAGCACAACCUUAUGGCAUUCUCUUGGGAGAUAAGUGAUGCUGGUUCUAGUUCCCCCAGGCAGAGGAGGAAAUUAAACCCAGGACUCCCACAUCCUUUAUGAGCGAAUAAAAAGUGGCUGUCUUCCUCUCAGCUUUGUGAAUAUAAUCGUGAUAUUUUCUUCCGGGGAAUCAAUUUGGUAAGUCCACGCUGAAUUCAACAAUCAUUUUGGGACAAUGGAAAAAAAAAAGCAAACAUUUUUCAAUGAGAAGGAUGCUGGCUAAAAAAACAUUCUAUUGACUGUAGUGGCAGUACAACAACCAGACAGACCCCAUCACUCUGCCACUUUAUAUCCAGCAGCUGUAGGACAGGAAACUCUCAUACUUGCAGACAGCGGAGGAACUUACCUGGCAAUGUGAAAUCUUGCUAGGAAAAAAGGGUUGUGCGGGAGUAAUGAAAUCCUCUGGGAAUGGCAGAUGAAACCUGAACACCGGUGGGACUGCCUUGAGUUCUGACACAAUUACCACAGUGCAUAAGAAAAACCUGCAAAGAACAGGCUCACUCCGAGGGCUGAGAUGUGACCAGUGUCCCAGUUAUUAUUAGCUACUAAAGGUCUGAAAAGGUUCAAACUCCAUCUUUGUAGGAAUUCAAACAGAGGGAUGCAUGAGGCCUUGCUGACGGCUUCCAGACUGAAAAAGAAAGCGGAGGGAAAAGGGGCAUUUCUCUGACCUUCCUCGGUGAUUGCUCAGAACUGUGUCUACUGAUGGCCGUGUCCAACACCGACAAGAAGAGGCAAGAGAAGUCAAAAUCUGAGGAGUGAGAUGUUCUGCUAGCACAGAAAAGCCACCUGGAGAAACAAAAACAAAUGUCACACAGCUGCGAGUGGGAGAAAUGCUAUUGUUUUCCUGGUAGCCCGUCCUUCCAGUCUUCUGAGAGAAGCGGGGGAAGGAGGAUUUGACCCUCACUGAGUGAAGGAGUUGCUGAUUUAGUCAAGUCAAGAACAGGAUGCGACGUUUUGGUCUAGUGCAUUGACAUUUGCAUCUCUGAGUGAGAAUGCUUAUUUUCAUUGGAGGAACAGCAAGACUGCCUUUUGAAACAUUUAAAGGGGCUUAUGGUAUUACUGCAAAACACUCUGGACAUGCACAGCAUGAAGAAACAAGUCGGAAGGUACAUUUAGAUGCACCAGACUCAAAUCAGAUAAACUCACAGGAUUCACGUGGCCUCUGACACCAGGUGAUUGCAAAUGAGAGUCAGAAACUGUGUAGCUGUGAGGCCUUGAUUGGAGGGAGCAAGUCCACUGAAGUGUGCUCUUCCUACAACAACUUGACUGCUGGAGAGUGGGCACAGAAGAGUUUGAGUCUACAGCAAUUACUUGUGUGAGUAAUCCCUGAGUAAUUCCGAGAGGAUUUACCUGUCUGACUAAGGGCCCUCAGAAUAUCACCAAACCCUUCGAUAUAUACUCUGAAAACAUAUUUGGCCCAUUGCUUCCUCAAGGACUUUCAAGGGCACAAGAGGAGGUUUACCUUAAUUAACAUCCCUUCAACAUUGUAGACAAUGGGCUCAUCUCUUGGCUAUACAACAGAGGAAUGUUGGAAACAAUAUCUGUUCAUCGUGAAAUCAUGUUCUCCCAGCUACCUGCUACAGAGGUGAAAGCAGGCACUGUCAAAUACCACUGAAGAAAUUUAAUCUUUCCUUGCUAGCAAAUUCUGAAAAGGCAAAUAACAUUUUCAUAGUUUGUUUACUCAUUUGUUCCUUAAAAGAGGCAAAGGAAUCUGUGAAUCAGAAGAAUUUCCAUCUCAAAAAUUGCUUUGGCAACCAGUGGCUUGUAAUUUAAGAUUAAGUGAUUGAAUUUCAUGCAGCCUUGCUUAAAAUUCACUACUCCACACGCUGUCACCACACAUUUUUAAAAAAAAAUCUAACAAGAAACCCCAAACAUCUAUAACGUUACUACAAGUCAGUCAAAAAAUGUCCAAUCAUCUGGGAGGUGACAAAACGUGCUUAAUGAAGAUGUAGUCUGCAUGACUGCUGGAUUUUUCCCCUUGUAGCGUUCACAGCCUAUCAGAGAGUUCCCAUUCCCAUGCAGUGCUGGUGCCGGGCUCACUUCAAUCAGGCUGCACAAAUCAGUGGAGCAGAAAUGCCUCUUUCCCUCCAUCACCUGAAGCCAAUGCUGAUUCAUCCGUUCAGACCCAUUCCUUCUGCCACUCCUCUGAGUUUACUGAUUGCUGAUUCAUUUUUCCCCCUCCUUUUUUUCCCCCACCUCGUACUAAGCAUCCCGUGUUGAGUGCAACACACUUCGUUUCCAGGUCUGACUGAAAGGGAAUAUGGAAAUUAAUUGGCUCAGACUGCUAGCAGCCUUUUGCACGUGCCUGUACUCCGUGAGAGGUGCAGUGCAAUUGCCUUUCCACUGUAGCUCCUUAUCAGCCACCUGUCUCCUUGCGUGUGUUUCCUUGGCUGCUCUCAGUCUGGGUGCUGGAGAUGGAUGUCCCCUUCCUCUCCCUGUUCUGCAAAAGGGAGGGCAGCUGGCAGGGCUGUCCUUGUGAGGGCUGAAGCUGUCCUCGUUUGACUUAAAAUAGGACAGAUUUAGUGAAUUCUCCAGCUUGUGGUAAAUAGCGUGUGACUGGUGCUUUGGUGAGGGCUGCAGAGAUGCUGUACAGCACAGUGGAACUUCUGCUGAAAUGUUUAUUUGUUGUCUCUGCUGGACGCAGGUCCUGGCUGAAAGAAAGCAGCUGAGGUAUGUCCCUUGGCCAUGAGAGGAGGGUACCAGGAUCCUUGCAAGUUGGAAUAUAAUCUGGCUCUGCAGCUACGCUCCAUCUCAAACAUUUUCAUGCCUAGGUUUCUAUCUUCCAUUGGUUUCAUACUGAAUUUUCUCAUGGAGCUUCCUCCCGACUGCAGAGAAUUUGGGUUUCCCCUGUGAAGUCUCCCUGUGUCUUUGAUGCUGGAGUGCUGUUGCUAGCAUUGCAGAAGUCCCACUGUCCCAUGCAGAGCACUGUACAGGUAUUUUUUUGAGGAGCUGCCCCACAUUCCUGUGGAGCUUUUCCAUCUCUGUGAAAAAAAGCUGGGGAGAAGGGAGGCCUUAUCUCCAUGCUGUGCAUGGGUGAGGUCCGAAAAAGGGCUAGGCGGGACAGAGAGGCCAGGAGCACAUAUAUAGGAGGGGACAGGAGUGGAGGCCCACAGCUUGGAGACACACAACCGCCGGAAGGCUCUGGGAGUGCCCCAGCACUUGCUAGGGGGCAACGGGCUCCUUUGAAGAGUGAGUGGUGCAAGACCCAGCCUGACUCAGUCACCCUUGGCAUCAUCCCUUGCAUCCUCAUUUCUGCAGGCUGAUGGUGUGUGCCCUGCUAGGGCCCUGGGCUUCUACUCAUUCAUGUUUGUAGGAACCCGGAGGAUGACUCAGAUUAUUACAGCACUGUAGAUCUGAUGCUGUCUGUGAUGUCUCUGGCAUGAUGCCCAUCUUUCCCUUCUGUGUUUGAACAAUCUCUUGCUCAAGGAGCCCUGGCCUGAUAGAAGGACUACCUCCUAUUAUUAACACAGUAGCAAGAAAUGAAAGGGCAGGCACAUUUGUAUGUGGUAUAAUUUAUGCAGAAGACAUGAUCUCAGGCACAGUGGAUGACAAAACCAAACGAGAAACUUUUCUUCUAGUUUUAUCACAGUUUCUCCCAGAACCUCUGCUGUAUGCGUUCUGGAAAUUUACAGGAUGAAGGAUUUUGUCAUGAUAUCUAGUUCUAAUCUGAAGUGAUUUACUGUUAAGUUGAAAAUCAAGCCUGUACGUAUCCCCCUCCAAGUGGUUUCUAUGACAGUUUCUAUUAACCAUAAAAAUGUCACUUGCUAGGAAGUAUCAGCCUUCUUGUAGGCUUUGCAAUCAUUGCUACCAGAUGCACACUUACUGAAUGGAAUAAAUAUUCUUGUACAAUUAGCCUGGCAUGCAGGACAUGUCUGGCUAUCUCUCUUGCCUCCAAAGUGAAGUUUUCAAAAGCAAACCCGUAUAUCAAGAGAUGAGAUCUAUCUGGAUUUUCUGAAGUUCUUCAGAUCUUGCAGUGUUAUGAUGCUUUAUGGAUAAAGCACGGUGGUGUGUAAACUUAGGCUAAGUUUUCUUCAUUUUAAUCUGUAUAAGCAACUGAAAUAUUCAUUUUUCAUUGUUUUGAUCAAGUGGAAAAAAAUAUUUGAUGUCUGUUCUGUGAUUUAAAAUGUAUUUUGAAAUACACUAAUGGCUCUGUGGCAUUUCCUGCUGUUGCACAAUCACGGUGAAGCUGGUACUGUCUGGAUGCGCCGUACACACUUUGCCCCUACCUACCCGUUAAGGAAAUGACACACAAAGCCUUCCUUAAGACUGGGGGGUGGUGAUGACUUCUUCCAUAUGUGGGAUGUGUUAGCAGUGUUGAGACACUGAUUUGAGCUAACCUUGUCUUCAGGUAUGAGCUGAAAUGGGAGUCUGGGUUUGCGUCAUGCGCUGUCAGGGAUCUUAUCCAUUACACUCAAGGUUUUGGUGAGGAACUCAAGAAAUCAGCCUGAAUAAUGGAAAAGGCAUUUGAUCGGCUGCUCUCAUGAUGUGUCUGCCAUUGAAACCACACUCUGGAGAGGAGUCAGAAAGGAAGUUGUAGGCUGGACCUCCACUGCUGUGUUUGAAUCUGAAGAUGGAAAUGGAGGGUGCUGCAGAGCUGAGCUGGUGGACUCGGACUGUGAGAGAUACAUUACCCUUGCAGCAGAGGAAGCAUUGUGGCAGAAAAAGCAAGAGGCCCUGUCACUUUAAUCUGCUUACAGGAUAAGGUCACAUUCUGCUCUUUUUUUGCACCAGUCUAACCACUGAAGACACUGGAUGUGGGCUUGUGUGUGUUGGGGAAAAUACUACUGUGCUGCAGUUUGCAGCUGGCGCAACGAAUGGAGAUAAAAGCAAAUUCUACAGAGCAUCUGGCUCACUUGGUGAAGUGAGCUUAGAGCCUGGAUGCUUCUGAUACAGCAAGGUGGAAAGAAAAGAACCUAGUCCCAUUUCCAGAGUAGGGAGAGGUUUUGAAAGUAGCAGCUCUGAGGAGGCACACGGACUGUGGCUUCAAAAAGGGCUGUAACUAUGCACGAGCUCCAAUAGUUAUUCUGGUGUGAAUGAGAGCAGAUGAACUCCUGCAUCCGCUCAUAAUGUGAGCAGAGCCAUGCCAUCAGUGCAGGAAGCUGUAUGUGGGCGCAAGUGCGAGUUGAUGUGCUGCUCUAGGCAGUGCUCAUGGGAGGAGAUAAGGUAGACAGCAGAAGGGUUUAGCUCCUUCUCUGCUCUUUGUCUGCUUUGCAAAGGCUAUUGCGAAAGCAGAAGGAGUUUAAAAAUGUCUGGAAUAAUGAUUUGCAAUCUGUCAAACCUGCUCUGUAAGGAGAAGCUGAAGAAACUCAUUCUAUGAAGCUUAAGAAAAAAAAUAUCUUAAAGUAUGACUUGACUUCAGCACAGGCAGGGGGAACGUAUUUCUGAGACUAGUGGGCCCUUUGUCUUUUAUCCAUCACAUACGUAUGAAUUCCAGAGCUAAAAGCUUCUGUGCACCCCUCACCCGUGGAAUUCAGAAAUAAAAGUUGCAAAACAGAAUAUUAUACCAUUCCAAAUACUGUUGUUGGAAGGAAAAGCGCAUGUGGUCUGCUUGUACCUUCAGAAUCCGUGAUGAAGACCGAAAGUUUUCCUCUUCUGGAAACACUGUUCAUUGUUUUUUCACAUGAUAGAAUUGGCUUGAAGUGAUUCCACUGUCCCUCAAAGUCUUGUGAAAACAGAAAGCAUGCUAUACUAGCAUGAGAAAAGAUGAUGCUCACAGAUCUCUAAGAAGCAAAAAAGCAACAGAUAUUCUCUGUGGGAUGAGCUGCUUUUUCACUGCAGCAUUAACACAUGCACUUUGGAGACUCUCAUCUUGGCCAGCAGCUGAGCAUGCUCUUGCAUUAUAUCCAAUGGCUCAGGAGCAAAAGCACCAGCUUUUAUUCAGCACCGUGUUGCUCCAAAAUCAAUGCCAGCUAAGCGUUUUCAUUGCUAACAAACUGAACAUCUUCAUGGAUAUUAUUUGGAAUAAAAUGGGAUAGGUGGCACCGGAGGGCUCUGAUGGCCAUGAAUUCUCCAAGCUGUGAGUCCUUCUUUCCUGACAGAGUCAGAUGAUAGAGAGGACAAAAGUAAUUUUUGCAUGUUUUCAUCCCUGCCAUCUUUCAUGUGGCUCUUAAAUGGCUGAAUGUCAGCAGAAAAACAAUGACUUAGCAAGGACUUUGUGUGGAUAGAUCUAAAGAGCGGGAUUUGCAGGCCACACUGAAAUAAUGUAUUGCAUUUUCAAAUUUUAGUUCAGUGAAAGCUUGGGAAUUAACUGGGCCAGUUGGUAAGUGGCCUUUUCCAUAUUUCAGAGUGAUAGCAGAUACACACACGCACGCUGUGUGCAAAGGCCCUUGCUGAAAAAUGUAAGGUUGAGCUAAUAUGCCUGACAGGUGCCAGACUGGUAUAGAUGGGAAGUAAAGACUCUCAUCUUCUUCUCAGGAAGAGCGGGGAGGCAGUGGCACAGGUUGCCCAGGGAGGUGGUGGAGUCACCGUCUCUGGAGGUGUUCCAGAGCCGUGUGGAUGUGGCACUGAGGGACGUGGGCAGUGGGCAUGGUGGGAGGGGCUGACAUGGGACUAAGUGAUCUUAGAAGCCCUUUCCAACCCUAAUAGUUCUGUGAUUCUAUGAUCUGCAGAACAGGAAUGAUGAAGGCCGUGGCAGCGUGAACUUCCCUGUGUAGUGCAGAACGCAGUGAUCAAGUUUUGACAUUUGCCUCUGUGAGGAGAGAAGUGAACACCCACAAACAAUGGGCUGGUCCCAGCUCACCUCCGACUGAAGUUUGUCAUUAUCAUGUAUUAGAUUCCCCCAUAGCAAAUACAGGAUUGGAACUGUAAUAAAGUAUUGAAAUUGCAGUAGAGGCUAUACAUGACUUUAAACUGUGUCAUAAAAUAUAUUUUAGGUGGCUAUAACAAUAAAAACGUUUGGAAGCCAGGGCAGCUCCAGAUUUCAUCAUUUGCCAAAAAAAUCCUGAGCAACCCAAGCCCUCUCACUCUCCGCUUCUUAAACAAAAACGUGCACAGCUUCUGUACCAACAGACUUAUUGCUGACUUUCUCCCUCUGCGUUCGGUUUGCAG